rnacentral:snRNA from 1 species
AUUUUGCAAGUCUAGAUAAGA